GAUGAACGCUGGCGGCGUGCCUAAUACAUGCAAGUCGAGCGAACAGAUGAGGAGCUUGCUCCUCUGACGUUAGCGGCGGACGGGUGAGUAACACGUGGAUAACCUACCUAUAAGACUGGGAUAACUUCGGGAAACCGGAGCUAAUACCGGAUAAUAUAUUGAACCGCAUGGUUCAAUAGUGAAAGACGGUUUUGCUGUCACUUAUAGAUGGAUCCGCGCCGCAUUAGCUAGUUGGUAAGGUAACGGCUUACCAAGGCAACGAUGCGUAGCCGACCUGAGAGAGUGAUCGGCCACCCUGGAACUGAGACACGGUCCAGACUCCUACGGGAGGCAGCGGUAGGGAAUCUUCCGCAAUGGGCGAAAGCCUGACGGAGCAACGCCGCGUGGGUGAUGAAGGUCUUCGGAUCGUAAAACUCUGUUAUUAGGGAAAAACAAAUGUGUAAGUAACUAUGCACGUCUUGACGGUACCUAAGAAGAAGGCCCCGGCUAACUACGU
rnacentral:rRNA from 1 species